rnacentral:lncRNA from 1 species
AAAACUCCCAAAAUCAAACCCAACCUUCCUUUUAUGGUCAUAAACCUUGUGUUUAAAUUUCAUAGAUUUCUAUUUACUUAUACUAAAGUUAUGGUGCAAAAACCAAGAAUAAUGCUUGUUUGGGCCCCUUUUUGGUCCCUUAUUCCUAAACUGUUGGGACCUCAACUCCCAAAAUCAAUCAUAACCUUCCUUUUGUGGUCAUAAACCUUGUGUCAAAAUUUCAUAGAU